rfam:Clostridium sp. CAG:1024 genomic scaffold, scf82
GGAGGGGACUCUGGAGAAUCCCGUACAGCGGGUGCCGAAGGUGCAAGGCAGGCGAAUGCAAUUUUGCAGGCCGAAUCUCUCAGGCAAAAGGACAGAGUACCGAAU